rnacentral:lncRNA from 1 species
GGCUCUGGGUCCUUCCUGGGCCCCACCCCUUUCCUGCCUCCCGUCGCCCCUCACAGUCCGGAGCCACAGUUGCCUUUUGAAGGAGAGGUUGCCAAGAAGGGAAAGGAAGAAAUGAAGGAACAAGCACAGUGAGCUAAAUCCUCC